CAUAGGUUUAUGCAGAAUUUCUACGCAUAACCUGCGCUGAUCAUGAAGUUACUCCUAACAUCACUGGACAGUUCUACUGUGGGCUUGCUUAUGAUGUACAGAGCUCAAGAGGAAAUGGAGAAUCUACUAGAAAAACAGGAUAUACAGACCACAGACUUAACAGCACACAGAAGAGACACUGUUCUUCUGAGUCUUCCCUUCUACCUACAAGAGCUGGCCUCAAUUUCAAAAACAUCCUGAAUUCUGCAAGGAACAUUACGAUGGGAAUUUUAGAGUUGGUCAGGAAUGGCGUCCCUUCAAGAUUGCUGUGCAGUGCAGUAAAUGUUGUAAUUGUCCUUGAAGAGGAGGUGGUUAUGCAGAACUUGGGAAACUUUACAAAUGCCUUUACAAUCCUGUUUGGCCCACUUUAUGCUUUUAAUAUGAACUAUCGCAAGAACCUUAAAUACACAUUUGUGGUGGUCUAGAAAGUGUUCCUGUACCUUGGAAAUGACUACACUGCUAGAGUGCAAUCUCUAAAAAACAAAAUAUCUACAAAUAUAAUACAAAUUUCUGUGUAACACUUCCAGUUAAUUUUUUCAGUUUGGGCACCUGCUUUUGAAUAGAAAAAAAAGUCUUUGAUCACUGUUUUAAAAAAUGUUAGUUAAAUGGAAUUGACUGUUAAAUGGUCUAUUGUCUUAUUUGAUUUAUUUGUUUUCUAAAUAAGUCUCUAAAUCUGGAUUCCAUCACCAUUCUAUUGCUCUUACAUAAAGCAUUCU